GGGGAUAUAGCUGAGUGGUAGAGCAUUCUACUGCAGAUCGAGAGGUCCCUGGUUCGAACCCGGGUGUCCCCU
rnacentral:tRNA from 1 species